ensembl:lncRNA
GUCGGGGUUGGGUUAACAGAGCGCAUGGACUUUCUUUUCAAAAUGAUGGGCAUUGCAGCUCCAGAUUUAUUUAAGGGAGAUUAAAUGAUACGAUAUAUACACACACAUAUAAUUCUUUGAUUUAGUUGGAUUUCAUAAUUUUAACACUUUCAAAACAGAACUUUCAUUCCCAGUCCUUUGUAGUGGACAGUAGGACUUACCAACUUCCAUUUAUAAGUGAGACGAAGAGAAUUUUACCCAGAAUUGUAGACAGGGUCUCAGGCGCAUAGCUGUCUGGGGAUGAAGUGUAGGAGGGCCAGGUAUUAAAGCAGAAAGGUGAAAGUUCAAAGCACCUACCAGCAUUCGAGAAGCGUCACUGUCCAGUUUUACAUCGCCACAGACUGAGGUUGCCAACCAAAGAAGAAUCAACAGAUAUAUUUCAAGACAAAGAUUAAACUAUUUGGCCACAAAAGCAAGAGGUAUUUUUGGAGGCAUCAAGGUGAGGCUUUUCAAACCUAACGACACUGCAUCAACUGUCAAGCAUGGUGGUGGUAGUAUCAUGCUCUGUAGCUGUUUUGUUGCCAGUGGUACUGGUGUGUUGCACAAAAUGGAUAGCCAAAUGAAGGGGGAUUACCUCAAAAUUCAUUAAUCCGCUAGACCAGUGGUUCUUAACCUGGGUUCGAUUGAACCCUAGGGGUUCGGUGAGUCAGUCUCAGGGGUUCGGCAGAGCCUCCGCCGUGACAUGCAUGGCUCAUUUUGUGCACCAGUAAAAAACAUAUCUAUGUCUUGAAUUUCAAAAAAAAUAUCAUAUUUUAUUUUUCACUAAAGAGGGGUUCAGUGAAUGCGCAUAUGAAACUGGUGGGGUUCGGUACCUCCAACAAGGUUAAGAACCACUGCGCUAGACGGUUAAACUUGGACACAGUUGAGUGUUUCAGCAAGACUGGUUGUGGAAUAGGUAAUGCAGGCUAACACUGAGCUUCUGGAAUAGCUUUCCCAAAGCCCCAACCUCAUCAACUGAAAAUUUGUGGAUUAUGCUUAGAAGCCACGUCUAUGCAAGGAAACCAACCAAUUCAAAUGGCUUCUGUCGGUUCUGCAAGGAAGAGUGUUCAAGUAUUCAGUCACAAUUACGCCAGAAACUUGUUGAUGGCUAUCAAAAGUGUCUGAGGUGCAACUCUCUAAGGGACAUUUCACCAAUUAUUAGUGGAAGUGCAUAUAUAUUUAAACCUGUAUGUAUAUUUUUGACUGUGGAUUAGAGAAAACAUGAAAUAAAUUCAAAGAUCUGCACCCAAUUCUUGUUUUUUAAAGUCAUGAAAGAUGUAUGCUGUAUAACCCCCCCACCCAUCCCGGAAGAAGAACAAUUAAAAAAAAAAAAAUCAUUAGAAGCCAGCAUUACCUUGAAAUUCAUGCCCAUGAUGACUGUAUGUAAACUUCUAAAUACCACUGUAUAAUUAUCUACAUAAUGAGGUCAUCUUAAAGCACAAGGAGAUAGGAACAUUUACAUAUAUUUCAAGUGUUUACUGAUGAUCAUUAAGUGUAGUUUCAGAGUCAGUUCUUUUAUAAAAGAAUACAAAAAAUACUGUAUAA